UACAGAGGUCUCAAGCGUUGUUCGGAUUCAUUGGGCGUAAAGGGUGUGUAGGUGGCGCCGUAAGUCGGGUGUGAAAUCUCGGAGCUUAACUCCGAAACUGCAUUCGAUACUGCGGUGCUUGAGGACUGGAGAGGAGACUGGAAUUUACGGUGUAGCAGUGAAAUGCGUAGAGAUCGUAAGGAAGACCAGUGGCGAAGGCGGGUCUCUGGACAGUUCCUGACACUGAGGCACGAAGGCCAGGGGAGCAAACGGG
rnacentral:rRNA from 1 species